CUCCACGGUUUUCUUGCAGAGAAGGAUAGGGAUGGAAAAUGAGUUCUGUCGGGUCAAUGUGGCGGCCGGUUCGACCGUUUCGACGACUAAUUUGUUGCCCAUUAUUGGUUCGUUGUCUUGGUUGUUGUUGUUGUUGUUGUUAUCAGGUGGCUGUGAGGUGACUUGGUUCUCGUCGACAUUGUUCCACAGGUUUGCGAGGAAUUCAUCCAUGUUCAUCGACCCGACGCUCUUGCCACUCUUGAGUUGGAUUUCAUCGAGCGUGAGCGAGAAGAUUGAGCCUUGCUUGUUCAGCGGGGAAGCCAGUUGUUCCUCGAGAGAUUUUUCGAUUCGUGAUUGUGAUUCUUGAU
rnacentral:lncRNA from 1 species